GUGGGGAAUCUUGCGCAAUGGGCGAAAGCCUGACGCAGCAACGCCGCGUGGAGGAAGAAGGCCUUCGGGUUGUAAACUCCUGUCAGGGGGAAAGAAGGCACCUGGGUUAAUAGCCCAAGGGCUGACGGUACCCCCAGAGGAAGCCACGGCUAACUACGUGCCAGCAGCCGCGGUAAUACGUAGGUGGCGAGCGUUGUCCGGAAUCAUUGGGCGUAAAGCGCGCGUAGGCGGCUUGUCAGGUCUGAUGUGAAACCUUGGGGCUUAACUCCAAGCGUGCAUCGGAAACCGGCUUGCUAGAGUCUGGGAGAGGGAAGUGGAAUUCCUGGUGUAGCGGUGAAAUGCGUAGAUAUCAGGAGGAACACCAGUUGCGAAGGCGGCUUCCUGGAACAGUACUGACGCUGAGGCGCGAAAGCUAGGGGAGCGAACAGGAUUAGAAACCCCGGUAGUCC
rnacentral:rRNA from 1 species